AGGCUCCGGGAGGCCUGAACCCAGAGAGCCGAGGGGGAAACAGACAUGGGAACAAGAACACGCACGGUACUGCUCCCUGUUUUUUCCCAAGCCUAGCCAGAUAAAGAAGCUUUUCACGAUUUAUUUUCCAGGUUGUAAAAUAAUAAUUUGCUUAGCUUGUCAGACAGCUGGGGGAGAACUUCAGAGAAACACUCUUCCUCAUCUUUCUGCGGAUUUUACCGUCUGCUGGAAAAAUCAGAGCGGCUCACCCCGCGCCCUCGGAGCUGAAUGCAUUUUGCCCAACCAGGACAAGCUUCUCUGAGCAUGUUCUAGCUCGUUCUGGCCGGGGGACAUCCUCCCCGGCACUGGGUACUCGGCUUUAUCUUGGCCGGGAGAACAAGAACAUUCUUUCAUGAAGCCGUGAACACAGUAUCUCCCUCUGCCACCUUCUCCGCCGCCCUCUCAGAUCAGGAAAACCCUCGAGGCCUCUCAGCCCGUACGCAGUUCCCACUCUCUGCUGAGAGGGGGGAAAGGAGACAGGGACAGAAGGUUCUCGGGGCUUCAGACCCUGAAGCUCAGGUCUGGUACUUCCAGCUACCCUGAAGAACAGAACAGCAUGCUUUCAGAGGCGUCUUGCCAGGACCCUCCCGAGUACAGCUUCUUGCGUCAGUGACUUCUUGCCUGCCACCCCCUCUCUCCGCUGGCCACCCUUAAGCUUCCCUCUGAACUGCUACACCACCAUCACCACAAAUGUCACCACAGACCCGGGGAGAGCGCUUGUUUGGCUGGUGUUUACUUCUGCCGGGAGACUCUGGAAGAUCGGAGGCUGGGAGAGGUCACCACGCUCAACCCUUGCCCCACUCACUGCCACCUCGGGUGAUGCUGAGGGCCCGGACUCGGUGAUGGGAUCCCACACGGCAGGACAAAAGCCACGUAUGCUGGGCUUCCUCUGGCACUGGAGGCUGGGAGUCACGCAGGAUCCCGGCAGGGGGAGGGUCGCCCGAUCAUUCUGCAGCAGGGAGGGCUGUUGGGGGGCGGGUGAGAGCAGGGGGCUAGAGCCAGGCCACCUGAACCCCAAUCCCAGCUCCGUUACUAGGGGGUGGGAGAACCUGAGUAAGUCACAUGACCUCUGAGCUUCAGUCUCCACAUCCAUAAAAUGGGAGCAGCAGCCGUUCCUGCCUCAUGUAGCGCUGUGCCCAUGCAGCGCACUGACACAUGCACACGCCCGCAGCAGUGCGGGGCACAUGGGAGGCCUUCAGUGCAUGUAGCCAUAAUGCACUCAUCCCUGCUGACCAGAGAUCUGGCUCCGUGUCAGUGGGGCCAGCUCAAGUUCAAGCUGACUUUGGAAAGGAAAACACAGCGGUUCUAAUCAAUCCUGCCUGCCUUCAUCCACUCAACAGGCAUCUAUUGAGCAUCUAUUAUGUACCCCAAUCUCUAGUGGGAGGGAACAGUUCUAGAAACAUCAUUAGAAUGUAGCCCGCUAAACACUGGACAUGAAUUCUGAUGUCAGAAAAAAGUCAACUAAAUAAUCCAACGGAAACAAAGGUACCCUCUUUUUUUCCUGUUAUCUUCCUGUUGUCCCCAAACCUGAGAAACUCACGAUGGUAUCUUCCAGCAGAGGACUUCCGAGGAAGGGUUUCAAGUUUGGGGUUUGAGAGUAUCUACCAUGCUCGGGGGAGGUGGUACGAGAUCACUGUUGUCCCAGGAUGAGCCUUUUCAGUGGUCUCUCCCCUGCAUCUAUCUGUUCUCCCUUCUGGAUAUGCAGGUGCAGCCUGUCCACGUGGUGGCAGGGGCCAAAGGGCUCCUGACUCCAGCCAGAGCAGCUGGCGGCUGCUGAAGACAUGGGUAGCCAGGCGUGCCUUAGCCUGACACGCUCUGUGCACCCUUGCCUACAAGGACCCCUGUCUGCAGGCAGGAGGGCCUGGGAGCCGGCACAGGCAGUGCCCACUGGUGGGUGCACCAGCACUGGGAGAAGGUGGAGCCAAGUGCCCCAGCAGGAAGCCAUCCCGACGCUGUGGUCUUGCACUGCCCGUCGCCUCGGGAAGCUCACGCGCAGGUGUUCCCUGCUCCAUCCCAGGUGGCCAACCCCAAGUUGCCCCCGAGUUCUGGACAGCCGUUCUAGCUCCACACCCCCUGCACCGGGCCCCAGGGGGUCUCAGGCAGGUUGUCAGGAAGUUCACUCACCUCCUGCCAGGGCACCGUGGGCCCCA